rnacentral:misc_RNA from 1 species
GUUUAUGAUAACAAGCUCCAAGUUUUCGUAUUCGACAGUGUUAAUAAGAAAACAGAGCGAUGCAACACCAUAGGAUGUAGUGGUUUUAAAUGAUAGAAUUAAAACAAACUACAAGCAUUGCACUUCAAACGUAAGAGAAAGUGAGAGUAGUGGGAUUAGUUUGAAAGGGAAAAAGGUGAGUAUUUUUUAUAUGUAGUUUUCAUACAAAGGAAGAUAAGGCUUAUUGGAUUAAAGCAGGAUCGUUAAAAAGGAUUAGUGUGUUGGAAGUGUAGUGUAGGACAUGUUGAAUAUGUUGAGAGCUACUUUACUAAACCUAGCAA